GCCGGGCAGGAUGGCUCAUGCCUGUAAUCCCAGCACUUUGGGAGGCUGAGGUGGGUGGAUCACCUGAGGUCAGGAGCUCUAGACCAGCCUGGCCAAGAUGGUGAAACCCCGUCUCUA
ensembl:misc_RNA Metazoa_SRP Metazoan signal recognition particle RNA